ACGACCAUCUUUUCUCACAACCCUAUUCCUCCGGGUACAAGCGUUCUUUCCUUGCCUUCUUUACUCCCUCCAAGUUUUUAGCACUUUCAAUAGUAAUUCUUUUUCCAUAUUGAGUAGCAUAUCUUCUAGGAAGUCCUUUUCUUCUUCGUUGUUGUCUUCACCAUCAUCAUCCUCUCCACCAUAUCCUUCUCCAUCGUCACAACCGUCAUCUCCACCACCACCACCGCCACCACCAUCAAAGUAUUCUCUUAUAACAUCAUCAUGCAUCGUGAAAGCCUGUGCCUCCGUACUUCUCUCACCAUGAUGAUCCUAAAUCUCGUAGUUCUCCAUGAAACCCCUUCUUAUCAAGUGCGACCUUAUUUUAUUUAGAUCCUGGCACACUAUUCGGUUUCUACAGUCACAACAGGGGCACUAUAUAUCCUUUGUCUGCUUGAUCAAAGCAUGUCUUUUAGCUGCUUCAAUGAAACCAUUAAAUUUUUGUAUGUAGCUGACUUCGUUUCUUCGAUUUUACAAUGACCGGUCCAUAUUUAGUACCCUAUAUAAAUGCAAAAAAAUAAAAGCUAGCAUGCAUGAGAAAAGAUAUCGUGUCACUAAAUAAAAAUCCAUGCCCAAAUUACUUGUAAUAAAUAAAAAAUCAAAUUAGAGCCCAAAUUGCUCCCCCCUCUCUAUAUAGAUCUCGACGCAGAAUCAAAAUAUAAUGUUUCUGCAAAAUUCCAAUAGGCUUUACGGCCGAAGAGACUCACCCCACAAUCCCAACUUGU
rnacentral:lncRNA from 1 species